CCCUUAGAUGUCCUGGGCCGCACGCGUGCUACACUGACGCCUACAGCGAGUACUUCCCAGCCCCGAGAGGUGGCUGGUAAUCAGCAAUAGGCGUCGUGAUGGGGAUAGAUCUUUGGAAUUAUGGAUCUUGAACGAGGAAUGCCUAGUAAGCGCAGGUCAUUAGCCUGCGUUGAUUAAGUCCCUGCCCUUUGUACACACCGCCCGUCGCUCCUACCGAUUUCGAGUGGUCCGGUGAAUCUUUCGGACUGCGCGCGGCUUCGUGCCGUGUCGCGGAAAGUCAGGUAAACCUUAUCACUUAGAGGAAGGAGAAGUCGUAGCA
rnacentral:rRNA from 1 species